GUGACCUGCGGAGGAUCAUUAACGAGUUAGGGUCUCUCUGGCCCGACCUCCCAACCCUUUGUCUACUUGACCAUCGUUGCUUCGGCGAGCCCGUCCUUACGGACCGCCGGAGGGAUCUUUACUGGCCCUCUGGUCCGCGCUCGUCGGUAGCCCAACCUUUAAAAUCUUUAACUAAACGUGCCUUAAUCUAAGUACAAUUAUUAAAUAAAAGCAAAACUUUCAACAACGGAUCUCUUGGUUCUGGCAUCGAUGAAGAACGCAGCGAAAUGCGAUAAGUAAUGCGAAUUGCAGAAUUCCAGUGAGUCACCGAAUCUUUGAACGCACAUUGCGCCCUUUGGUAUUCCGAAGGGCAUGCCUGUUCGAGCGUCAUUAUCACCCCUCAAGCCCUCGGCUUGGUGUUGGACGGUUUGGUGGAGGCCCCCUCGGGGGCUCCUGCCCCUCCCAAAGACAAUGACGGCGGCCUCGUUGGACCCCCGGUACACUGAGUUCUUCACGGGACACGUAUCGGACACAUGGGUUUACGGGACACGGUCUGCCUCCCCUCAGGGAGAAUCUUUCUAAGGUUGACCUCGGAUCAGGUAGGGAUACCCGCUGAACCUAA
rnacentral:misc_RNA from 1 species